rnacentral:lncRNA from 1 species
UUUUUCUUAGCACCAUUACAAUGAAUGAACAAAAAAUCAAUUAACAUUAUAAAAAAUCUAAAAUGUUUGUCACAACUUUGGCUGUAAUAUAAUACCAUUAACGGUACCAAUGUUCCUGCAUCAGAUGCGCAUUUCGACAAUACAUGUCUCUUCAGUGAUACUCGUGACCAAAAUAUUUGAAAUCCAAAGCUUAUAUAAAAGAUGAAGAGCUAUACUCCAAAAGGUCAAAAAGUAUAACCAAAUCCGUGAAAGGAAUCAGAGCUUUGCAGGAGGGAGAUACAUUCCUUAAUUUAUAAUAAUUUCUAACAUUUUGUAACAGCAAAUUUUAAUAACACAAAAAAAUCCGUAUUUUCAUGCCAGUACCUUACAAGUUACCUGGUUGCACUUACAUAUAUUUUGUCGCAACACAUUAAGCUGAAACGGAGCAUCCUUGCAACCUUAUCAGCUGCAACAUUUAGAUAUAAUAUUUUUUAAACUUCAUUUUCAUAAUAAUAAUCUUUGUCAGUGAUAGUUUGAUUACAUAAAACAUGCGAAAACUUGUCCUAUUUACAAAUAGAUAAAGGACAAACUUUUCAGAUUUUUUUUUCACACCAGUUCAAUUUUCUUAAAUUCAAAGACUUGCAGAUUAAUGUGUGUAUUUGUUUGAUUUGAACGUUUUUGGAAUUUUGCUGAUAUAAUGUCAACAAAUGAACGUCAAUAAAUUGGCCAAAAAACUGCAGUUUUAAAGGAUUCUGGCAACUUUCUUCUGUUUAUUAAAAAGUUUAUACGUUGGACAUUCUUGUUUACCAACAACAUUACUUUAUCAAAAGUAAGACAUUGAUGUGUCUCUUAGAUCAAAAUUAGUUCAUUUUUGAGAGGAAUUUAAUUGGAUUGAUUUUCUUUUAAAUAGAUGCCAUAUUUUUUUUUCGAAAUUCCGUUCAACCACAACUUGGGCAAUGUUCUGUUUUUACCAUGGUGCAUAACUAACGACUAGAGAUAGACACAACUGAAUGUGGUUCAUUUCAAACUUGAUUUUCGUUUUUUAUUUGGUCUUUUAUUUGUAGAUUGUGUGGCGACUUAAUCAAAUUAUGCCAUGGGAACAAACACUAUACUAUUUUCCACUCUAUCAAAGGGCAAAACUAUAGCCAGUCAAAGUAUUUCUGAACUGGAUCUUUCUUAAAUGGUAUUUUACGUCAUUUCCAGGUCAUGUGACUUGAGGAAACUGACUUUGUUUGUGGUGAUGAAUCCAAAAAAAUAAAUGCUAUUUUCGCAUCACAAAAAAAAAUUCAUAAAGCCCUAAAAAAGUAUUGUUUGGGAAAAAACUCAUCAGGCUAUUACGAACAUUGCAUUUUUAACAAAAGAUGUGCAAGUAAAAAUAAAAACAAUCUAGAAACAAUACUAUUAACUGCCUUGCAUUUGCUUCACACUCGACAAAUAAAACAGUGAUAUAAUUUCAAUAAAUAAAUAAUUAUUUACAAACAUUUUUAUCAAUCAGAAUGGGUCCAUAGUACACGGAUGCCUUACUCGCACUAUCAUUUUCUAUUGGUAAAACAUCUAAUUUGGCAUUGAAAUCAAAAAGAUCAUAUAAUAGGGAACAUGCAUAAUAAGUUUCAAGUUGAUUGGACUUCAACUUCAUCAAAAAUUACAUUGACCAAAAACUUUAACCUGAAGCGGGACAGACGAACGAACGAACGGACGAACAAACAAACGAAAGCACAGACUAGAAAACAUAAUGCCCCUCUACUAUCGUAAGUGGGGCAUAAAAAAAAAUAAUACAAGACUAAAAAUUGACAUACAUCAAGAAAUUACUACCAAAUACAGGGGAUUCAUUAUUCGUUGGAUACAAAUUUUCAUGGGUUGCUUGGGUAAACAAGUAAACUACAAAUUUAAAUGUCCAUGAAAUACAAAUUUCCAUAAAAAAAUGUAUCCAGACUUUUGCAGAACUACGAAAUCACAUAUACACGAAAAUGCAAGGUUUCCGUAAUCCACG